GAUGAAGAACGCAGCGAAAUGCGAUAAGUAAUGUGAAUUGCAGAAUUCCGUGAAUCAUCGAAUCUUUGAACGCACAUUGCGCCCCCUGGUAUUCCGGGGGGCAUGCCUGUCCGAGCGUCAUUACAACCCUCAAGCCCAGCUUGGUGUUGGGCCCCGCCGCCCCGGCGGGCCCUAAAGUCAGUGGCGGUGCCGUCCGGCUCCGAGCGUAGUAAUUCUUCUCGCUCUGGAGGUCCGGUCGUGUGCUCGCCAGCAACCCCCAAUUUUUUUCAGGUUGACCUCGGAUCAGGUAGGGAUACCCGCUGAACUUAAGCAUAUCAAUAAGCGGAGGA
rnacentral:misc_RNA from 1 species